UACGUAGGGGGCUAGCGUUGUCCGGAUUUACUGGGCGUAAAGAGCGUGUAGGCGGCCACGCAGGUCCGUUGUGAAAACUGGAGGCUCAACCUCCAGCUGUCGACGGAAACCGUGUGGCUAGAGUCCGGAAGAGGAGAGUGGAAUUCCUGGUGUAGCGGUGAAAUGCGCAGAUAUCAGGAAGAACACCAAUGGCGAAGGCAGCUCUCUGGGACGGUACUGACGCUGAGACGCGAAAGCGUGGGGAGCGAACAGG
rnacentral:rRNA from 1 species